CCUCUAAAAUAGAUACGUUGAUAGAUCUGAGCUUAAACCCGCACAUUUUGUUUCCACAGACUAACGUCCCCUCACAACGAAGCCGUGACCUCCUAUUUGCUUGGGGCUAUUUCAGCAAGUCCCGAUUUAACCGCUGAGAGUGACGACAUUGUUUCUGCCUGUAAGACGUAUUAUGAGUCGGUACGCCGGAGCUUCAGAUACAAACAACCUGAACUCGCAUCGCGGGCGGAAAAUGCGAAAAGUUUAGCUCGGAGUCGAUCCAGAAGAAAAAGGUUGCUGGAAGCAAGACGAAGUGUGCUGGCUGAGGAUGAGAUGGAAAUUUGGAGGUGCGCCACCAUAGAUCUCAUGUCUGAUGAGGAAGACGGCAUUGUUGACGGGGUGUCUGGAUGGAUUGUGCGGCCACCGCCCUCUCGCAGCCUUGAACUCUCCGAGCUCUGUGCAACGCUGCAAUCCAGAUUAGAGGCGACACCAAAAUACAGGGAAACUCACCAUAUACGCCUGCAAAAGUGACACUUUUCCCCAACGUUUUAGAGUUGUUGUUUUCUCUGGCAACUCGCCAUAUGCGCCUGCAAAAGUGACUCUUUUUUUUCAACGUUUUUGAGGAUUUUUUUUCCAACACUUGAUCACUUUAAAAAAGUUUUUUAGGGAUCUUUCCCGCAUGUCUCGCACUUUUUGACGUGUUUGGAGAACAUAAGAGACAUUAUGCUGCUUUGUACAUAAUUGUGUGUUUACAAUUAAAGCUCUUUCUUUGACUUAAUAGAUGUGCGUUUAUAAUUAAAGCUCUUUCUUUGACUUAAUAGAUGUGUGUUUAUAAAUAAAGCUCUUUCUUUGAAUAAACAGCUGUGUGUUUAUAAAUAAACCUCUUUGUUUUCUCUUAUAUUCCUUGAUGGUGUGAAUAAUGUAGUACAUGGCACAAUGACAUUAAUAUAUAAUAAAUUAUAACAUAAAUUAUAUAUUUAUUAUUGUUAUUGGGGGUUACAUUUAUAAUGAGCCAGGGUGCCCAAUAACCCCCCUCUUUAGAGUAA